rnacentral:rRNA from 1 species
AGCACCACAACGGGUGGAGCCUGCGGUUUAAUUGGACUCAACGCCGGGAAGCUCACCGGAUAAGACAGCGGAAUGAUUGCCGGGCUGAAGACUCUGCAUGACUAGCUGAGAGGAGGUGCAUGGCCGUCGUCAGUUCGUACUGUGAAGCAUCCUGUUAAGUCAGGCAACGAGCGAGACCCACGCCAACAGUUGCCAGCAUGGUCUCCGGACUGAUGGGGACACUGUUGGGACCGCCUCUGCUAAAGAGGAGGAAGGAAUGGGCAACGGUAGGUCAGCAUGCCCCGAAUUAUCCGGGCUACACGCGGGCUACAAUGGGCAGGACAAUGGGUAUCGACACCGAAAGGUGAAGGCAAUCUCCUAAACCUGUCCGUAGUUCGGAUUGUGGGCUGCAACUCGCCCACAUGAAGCUGGAAUCCGUAGUAAUCGCGUUUCAAAAUAACGCGGUGAAUGUGUCCCUGCUCCUUGCACACACCGCCCGUCAAACCACCCGAGUGGGGUUUGGAUGAGGCUGCGGUCGUUGCCGCGGUCGAAUCUAGGUUCCGCAAGGGGGGUU